GCAGUCGAGCGAACAGACAAGGAGCUUGCUCCUUUGACGUUAGCGGCGGACGGGUGAGUAACACGUGGGUAACCUACCUAUAAGACUGGGAUAACUUCGGGAAACCGGAGCUAAUACCGGAUAAUAUUUCGAACCGCAUGGUUCGAUAGUGAAAGAUGGUUUUGCUAUCACUUAUAGAUGGACCCGCGCCGUAUUAGCUAGUUGGUAAGGUAACGGCUUACCAAGGCGACGAUACGUAGCCGACCUGAGAGGGUGAUCGGCCACACUGGAACUGAGACACGGUCCAGACUCCUACGGGAGGCAGCAGUAGGGAAUCUUCCGCAAUGGGCGAAAGCCUGACGGAGCAACGCCGCGUGAGUGAUGAAGGUCUUCGGAUCGUAAAACUCUGUUAUUAGGGAAGAACAUACGUGUAAGUAACUAUGCACGUCUUGACGGUACCUAAUCAGAAAGCCACGGCUAACUACGUGCCAGCAGCCGCGGUAAUACGUAGGUGGCAAGCGUUAUCCGGAAUUAUUGGGCGUAAAGCGCGCGUAGGCGGUUUUUUAAGUCUGAUGUGAAAGCCCACGGCUCAACCGUGGAGGGUCAUUGGAAACUGUAAAACUUGAGUGCAGAAGAGGAAAGUGGAAUUCCAUGUGUAGCGGUGAAAUGCGCAGAGAUAUGGAGGAACACCAGUGGCGAAGGCGACUUUCUGGUCUGUAACUGACGCUGAUGUGCGAAAGCGUGGGGAUCAAACAGGAUUAGAUACCCUGGUAGUCCACGCCGUAAACGAUGAGUGCUAAGUGUUAGGGGGUUUCCGCCCCUUAGUGCUGCAGCUAACGCAUUAAGCACUCCGCCUGGGGAGUACGACCGCAGGUUGAAACUCAAAGGAAUUGACGGGGACCCGCACAAGCGGUGGAGCAUGUGGUUUAAUUCGAAGCAACGCGAAGAACCUUACCAAAUCUUGACAUCCUUUGACAACUCUAGAGAUAGAGCCUUCCCCUUCGGGGGACAAAGUGACAGGUGGUGCAUGGUUGUCGUCAGCUCGUGUCGUGAGAUGUUGGGUUAAGUCCCGCAACGAGCGCAACCCUUAAGCUUAGUUGCCAUCAUUAAGUUGGGCACUUUAAGUUGACUGCCGGUGACAAACCGGAGGAAGGUGGGGAUGACGUCAAAUCAUCAUGCCCCUUAUGAUUUGGGCUACACACGUGCUACAAUGGACAAUACAAAGGGCAGCGAAACCGCGAGGUCAAGCAAAUCCCAUAAAGUUGUUCUCAGUUCGGAUUGUAGUCUGCAACUCGACUACAUGAAGCUGGAAUCGCUAGUAAUCGUAGAUCAGCAUGCUACGGUGAAUACGUUCCCGGGUCUUGUACACACCGCCCGUCACACCACGAGAGUUUGUAACACCCGAAGCCGGUGGAGUAACCAUUGGAGCUAGCCG
rnacentral:rRNA from 1 species